GCAGAAGACGACGUGGAACAAAGUGCAGUCUUU
rnacentral:sRNA from 1 species